CAACUGCCUGCCGGCGCGGCACAGCGCGGCGCGCUGCGAGCGAGCGACCCAGCCACCUGCAGGCAGCCGGCAGCCCCCAGCCAAUAGCUGCUUCCCAGGCGGCCCCGCAGCGCAGUGCCGCAGCGGGCAGAGUCCCGUUCGCCCCAACUCCGCACCCAGGGUUUGAAAAACAAACCGGAAGAAGGAUUUCAGCACCAGAUAAAGACUAUGAUAGUAUAAAGAGAAGCAAGGUGACAAUGACAGAUAUGGCUUACAAUUUACAAACGCUGUCUGAACUACAACCAUUUCCACAAACUGUCCUCUAAUCCAAAGAGGCAUCUUCCAGUUAAGCUUGCUCAUUAAACCACAUACAUGUGACAGUGA